GACGAGUGGCGGACGGGUGAGUAAUGCUUGGGAACUUGCCUUUGCGAGGGGGAUAACAGUUGGAAACGACUGCUAAUACCGCAUAAUGUCUUCGGACCAAACGGGGCUUAGGCUCCGGCGCAAAGAGAGGCCCAAGUGAGAUUAGCUAGUUGGUAAGGUAACGGCUUACCAAGGCGACGAUCUCUAGCUGUUCUGAGAGGAAGAUCAGCCACACUGGGACUGAGACACGGCCCAGACUCCUACGGGAGGCAGCAGUGGGGAAUAUUGCACAAUGGGGGAAACCCUGAUGCAGCCAUGCCGCGUGUGUGAAGAAGGCCUUCGGGUUGUAAAGCACUUUCAGUUGUGAGGAAAAGUUAGUAGUUAAUACCUGCUAGCCGUGACGUUAACAACAGAAGAAGCACCGGCUAACUCCGUGCCAGCAGCCGCGGUAAUACGGAGGGUGCGAGCGUUAAUCGGAAUUACUGGGCGUAAAGCGCACGCAGGCGGUUUGUUAAGCUAGAUGUGAAAGCCCCGGGCUCAACCUGGGAUGGUCAUUUAGAACUGGCAGACUAGAGUCUUGGAGAGGGGAGUGGAAUUCCAGGUGUAGCGGUGAAAUGCGUAGAUAUCUGGAGGAACAUCAGUGGCGAAGGCGACUCCCUGGCCAAAGACUGACGCUCAUGUGCGAAAGUGUGGGUAGCGAACAGGAUUAGAUACCCUGGUAGUCCACACCGUAAACGCUGUCUACUAGCUGUGUGUG
rnacentral:rRNA from 1 species